UCCUGGCUUAGGACGAACGCUGGCGGCACGCUUAACACAUGCAAGUCGAACGGAGUCUAUUGAGCUUGCUUGAUAGACUUAGUGGCGGACGGGUGAGUAACACGUGAGCAACCUGCCUUCAAGCGAGGAAUAAUGAGUGGAAACGCUCUGUGAUACCUCAUAGCGUAUUUUUACCGCAUGAUAGGAAUACCAAAGAUUUAUCACUUGAAGAUGGGCUCGCGUCCGAUUAGCUAGUUGGUGAGGUAACGGCUCACCAAGGCGACGAUCGGUAGCCGUACUGAGAGGUAGAUCGGCCACAUUGGGACUGAGACACGGCCCAGACUCCUACGGGAGGCAGCAGUGGGGAAUAUUGCACAAUGGAGGAAACUCUGAUGCAAGCGAUGCCGCGUGAGCGAAGAAGGCCUUUUGGUUGUAAAGCUCUGUUAUCAGGGACGAAAAUGACGGUACCUGAGGAGGAAGCUCCGGCUAACUACGUGCCAGCAGCUGC
rnacentral:rRNA from 1 species